AGCUCCAAUAGCGUAUAUUAAAGUUGUUGCAGUUAAAAAGCUCGUAGUUGGAUUUCUGCCGAGGACGACCGGUCCGCCCUCUGGGUGAGUAUCUGGCUUGGCCUGGGCAUCUUCUUGGAGAACGUAGCUGCACUUGAUUGUGUGGUGCGGUAUCCAGGACUUUUACUUUGAGGAAAUUAGAGUGUUUCAAGCAGGCAUGCGCCUUGAAUACAUUAGCAUGGAAUAAUAAGAUAGGACCUCGGUUCUAUUUUGUUGGUUUCUAGAGCUGAGGUAAUGAUUAAUAGGGAUAGUUGGGGGCAUUCGUAUUUAACUGUCAGAGGUGAAAUUCUUGGAUUCUGCGAAAGCAUUUGCCAAGGAUGUUUUCA
rnacentral:rRNA from 1 species